rnacentral:rRNA from 1 species
CGCAUCUGUGCAUGCAGCAUAUCAAUAAGCGGAGGAAAAGAAACUAACAAGGAUUCCCCUAGUAACGGCGAGUGAAGCGGGAAGAGCUCAAAUUUGAAAUCUUAAAGGGUUUCCCUUUACGAAUUGUAGUUUAAAGAAGUGUUUUCUGUUGAGGUUUUGGUAAAAGUUCUUUGGAAUAGGACAUCAUAGAGGGUGAGAAUCCCGUAUUUGACCUUUACUUUCAACUUUGCGAUACACUUUCAAAGAGUCGGAUUGUUUGGGAAUGCAGUCCCAAAAUGGGUGGUAAAUUUCAUCUAAAGCUAAAUAUUGGCGAGAGACCGAUAGCGAACAAGUACCGUGAGGGAAAGAUGAAAAGAACUUUGAAAAGAGAGUUAAACAGUACGUGAAAUUGUCAAAAGGGAAGCGUUUGACACCAGUGUUGUUUUUCUGAAAAUCAAUUAAAGAACUGUUUAUGCUAAGUUGUUUAGACUUUAUCAGCUAACUGUUUAGUUUUGAGCUUUUCUUUAAUGCACUUUUCAGUUAACAAGUCAACAUCAAUUUCUUUUGCUGUAAAAAAGCUUGAGGAAGGUGGCUUGAGAUUCGUCUUAAGUGUUUAUAGCCUCUUGCCUAUGCAGUCGGAGAGAUUGAGGUCUGCAGCGUAGAUCCUUCGGGGCUAAAUGCAUUUGUGCUAAGUUAUAACAUUUUAUAGACAACUUGUUGACUAUGAUUUGUCUUGUAGCUUACUCACUUAUGUUAUUUUACCUACGCUUAGGAUGUUGAACGCGCACAGAGUCUC